rnacentral:rRNA from 1 species
UACGAAGGGGGCUAGCGUUGUUCGGAAUUACUGGGCGUAAAGCGCACGUAGGCGGACUAUUAAGUCAGGGGUGAAAUCCCGGGGCUCAACCCCGGAACUGCCUUUGAUACUGGUAGUCUCGAGUCCGGAAGAGGUGAGUGGAAUUCCUGGUGUAGCGGUGAAAUGCGCAGAUAUCAGGAGGAACACCAAUGGCGAAGGCAGCUCGCUGGAACGGAACUGACGCUGAGGCGCGAAAGCGUGGGGAGCAAACAGG